AAACAGUCCCAUCCUGCAAUAUCUCAAUGAAAGAGCCCCUUCACAAUGAGAAACCUGUGCAGAUGAAAUGAAAGAGAGACUAGAUUACCAGGAAAAAGCCAAACACAGCUGCCUGCUUCUCAUAAUAAAGUAAUCAUCCAGCCCUCCGAAAGAAGCAGGAGAACAAGACUUUCCUUGUUGGCAGCUGAAAUGGGACUUUACAGUAUUAAAAUUAUCAAAGCUGCCCAGUCAUUAAAAUGCGACAGUGUUUAGAAGGAAGCACUUUUGCAAUGGAUUCCUAUGAGGGUCAUUCUCUGUGAAUUGGGAAGAGUUUAGUGUGCAAGUCCUUGAGCCAGACACAGGAAACCCUAGGCUGACUGGGAAAAUGGAAGUCAGGAAAAGAAGAGAAUGAAAUCCCAAGACAAUGGAGGAGUGCCCCUUCAUGUUGUGAAACACCUGCUCAGCUGGGAACUGAAUUCGAGCUGAGAAGUUUGGGCUUAUAGAUGAUCAGUUUGCAGAGGCUUACCCUCAGCAUAUCAAGAUUGAGUCUUUGGAAAUAAAGCCAAGUGAAUAUAAAAGAGAAGUAGAAGAGCAAAUUGGGCAGAAACAUGUCAAAAGCAAAAAACAAACAACAACAAGAAAACCCAGGAUAACAGGCAGCAUUUCAGUUGGAAUUUCCAAAAUGAUGGCACUGAACAAUCUGAAGUCUGCUUUUAUUUAGUGCCCCUGGCCAGUCAGAAAAGAAUGCACAGCUGCCUCACCAUGACCACCUGGGUCCUGCAGUUCUGCCAGCAGCCAGUACGGGACACAUGAGCCUGCCUUUUCUGACCCUUGGAGGACCCGCGUGUUCAGCACAUGCCACCUGAGGAUGAGAGCUCCAUUCUCCUCAGCACAGACUCCAGCCACACUGCCUCACUCCAGUUGGAGGCAGAGAUAAGUAAAAACCUUCCUCUAACUGCUGAGGAUCAGGGACCCACUAGAAGGGUUUUGUGUGGAAAAUUAGAAACAAAAAAAUAUUCCUAUGGCUCUAGUGCACCCCAAGGACUUUCCCCACACCCAAGUGUGGUGACCACAAUGCCAGGUGCACGCCAUGACCUCGUGACACAAAUAUAGCAUUUGUCACACAAUUAUAACACCUACAAUGGAGAUACAUCUGUAAACAAAUAUAUCACCCAUAAUACAGUUGUGACACUUGUAAUACUAAUGUAACAACUGUAAUAUUGAUCUGACACCUGUAAUACAACUGUAAGACUCAUAACAGCAAUAAAACACUCAGAAUACCAAUAUAGCAUCUGAAAUACAAAUAUAAUCACCCUAAUACUGAUCAAACACCCUUAAUAGAACUCUAACUCUCAUAACACCAAUGUCGAUUCACAAUACAAAUGAAACAUCCAUAACACUGAUGUAACAUCUAUAGUGCUCUCUUGACACCUGUAAUACAACUGUAACACUCACAAUACCAACAUACAACUCAUAAUACCAAUAUGGCAUCUGCAAUACAAAUAUAACAACUUUCAUACUGAUGUAACAACUUUCAUAUUGAUCUAACACAUAUAAUACUAAUAUAGCACUCCUAAUACCACUGUAACAUUUGUAAUACAAAUAGAACAACAAUAACACUGAUGUAACACCCGUAAAUACUGAUGUGACACCUGUCAUACAGAUGUAAGACCUGUAAUACUGACAUAACAUUCCUACACUUACAAAGGCAGUUGGUUUCACAGCUUCCACUGAGCUGGAUUUCGCUCCUAUAAUGAAGUUUGAUGUCGUUGUCUCUGCUUUAGUGACAUGGUAUUGACAUGGUUGUUUUCAUUGAAAAGGAGUUUACUUCCCAAUAGUUUUAUACCUCUAGGAAACUUGAAAUAGCAGUUAGUAUACUUUAUCCUUUCUCCCAGAUUCCCGACUGGUUGUUGCUGUGCCAUAUUUGCAGCUUCAUUCAAAAUAUCCCACUGUGUUUUACAAAAAGUAGAAACACUCUCCCAAAUUACCAUCAUGUAACUACCAAAUCAGGAAAUACAGGGUUAGUAUUGGUAAUUGUAAUGGCAAAAUAUUUAUUUACAAGCACAAAUUUAAUCCUGUCACUUUCCUGAUUUAAUUUUGCUAAUGGUUUUGAGAGGUGAAGCCACCUGAACUUCCUGGGUUGAGUGGGGACUCAGAGAAGUUUUCUGUCUAGCUAAAAGAUUGUAAGUGCACUAAUCAGCACUCUGUAGAAACACACUAAUCAGCACUCUGUGUCUAGCUGAAGGUUUGUAAAUGCCCCAAUCAGCACUCCAUAAACAUGCACCAAUCAGUGCUCUGUGUCUAGCUAAAGGUUUGUAAACACACCAAUCAGCACUCUAUAAAAUGGACCAACCAACAGAAUGUGGGUGAGAACAAACAAAACAAUAAAGGCUGGCCACCCCAGCCAGCAGCAGCAACCUGCUUGGGUCCCUUUCCACUCUGUGAAAGCUUUGUUCUUUUGCUCUUCAUAAUAAGUCUUGCUGCUGCUCACUCUUUGGGUCUGCAUUACCUUUGUGAGCUGUAACACUCACCAUGAAGCUCUGUGGCUUCAUUCCUGAAGUCAGCAAGACCACAAACCCACCAGGAGGAACAAACAACUCUGGACAUGCCACGUUUAAGAGCUGUAAAACUCACUGCCCAGGUCUGUGGCUUAACUCGUAAAGUCAGCAAGAUAACAAACUGACUGGAAGGAAUAAACUCCAGACACAUCUGAACAUUUGAAAGAACAAACUCUGGGCACACCAUCUUUAAGAACUGUAAUACUCACUGCGAGGGUCCAAGGCUUCAUUCUUGUAGUCAGUGAAACCAAGAACUCACCAGAAGCAACCAAUUCUGGACAUGUUUUGGCGACCCUGAAGGGACACUCACUAAGCAGUGAGUAUCAUGGGACCCCUUUCACUUGCUAUUUUGUCUUAUUUUUCCUUAGAAUUCAGAGACUAAAUGCUGGGUACCUGUUGGCCUGUUAAGAGCAACUAGCAUGGCCACCACACUAAAGACUUGGGUGUCAGGCUUUCUGGGAAAAGGCGCUCUAACAAACUCAGACUCUUCGGAGUUGGGAGUGUUGAUUUGCCUGGAACCAGCUUCUGCUUUUCCUGUACUUCUGGGAUGAGCCGCGGGUCACCAGAGAGGAAAGCCAUUCAGUUGUGGGGUCCCAACAAGUUGAUUGACCCAGCAGCCAUGAGCAGAACUCUCAAAGUCAUGUCGCCCAAGCGAGACUCACCCGUCUAUCCUAUCUAUCAUGAUGCUUGCCUCCUGGGUCCUAAUGCUUGUCAGACAAACUUCCUCUUGCCUUUCUUCUCCUAGGUUAGUCCUGCUUCUAAAAACCACUCCUUGUCACUGGAGUUUUCUAGUUCAUCCUAUAAGAAUGAUUUCUAGUAUAAACUUCAGGGUGCUUUUACCUUCUUUAGCUCUCCAGGCUCACCAAUCACAAAGACAUAAUUUUUGCCCAAAGCCCCAUCAUGGGUUGGGGUUACUAUCUGGAAUUUUAGGAUCCUUCCUUAGACUAGCAGGUCUAAAAAAAGCAAUGCCUGAAGCUAGGAUAUGGGGAGCUUCAGAAAUGGUAUCUUUCCUAUUCAUAUGAGGACAAAAAGCAUCAAUCUUCCAACUCUUGAGAUCCCUUCCCUUACUCAGGGUAUGGUCCUCCACUUCAUAUUUGGGGUGUAACAUCAUUGUAGGACAGUUGUAAAGUCCCAAUACUAACAGGAGAAUGCUUAGGACUCUACAAAGUUUUCAAGAAUCUGUCAGUAGGAGCCACUAAAUCCAAUUUUUCUUGGUCCCCUUUGUGGUCAAGGAGGACAGGAAAGGGUGCAGGUUUUUGAGAAUGUGUCAGCAAGGGCCACUAAAUCCAACCUCCCUCAGUCCUCUUUGUGGUCUAGGAGGAAAACUAAUGUUUCUGCUGCUGCAUCAGUGAGUGCAACUUUUCUAAUCAGCGGGGUCCAGGGACCAUUGUGGGUUUCUGGUAAAGAGGUGAUUCUGCUGCUGCAUCAGUGAAUCAACUAUUGUGAUCAGCAGGGUCCAGUGACUGUUGUGGGUUCUUGGGCAAGAGGUGUUUCUGCUGUUGCAUUGGUGAGCACAACUAUUCUGAUCAGCAGGGUCCAGGGACAAUUGUGGAUUCUUGGGCAGGGGCAGAAACAAACAAAUCAAAACUGCUGGUGGUUUUGUCUUUCAGAUGGGAAACACUCAGGCAUCAACAGGUUCACCCUUGGAAUGCAUCCUAAGCCACUGGGACCAGUUUGACCCACAAACCCUGAAAAAGAGGUGGCUUAUUUUUUUCUGCACUAUGGCCUGACCCCAAUAUUCUCUCCCUGAUGGGGAAAAAUGGCCACCUGAGGGAAGUAAAAAUUACAAUACUUUCCUACAGCUUGACCUUUUCUGUAAGAGGGAAGCAAAUUUAGUGAAAUACCUUGUGUCCAAGCUUUCUUUUCAUUGAAGGAGAAUACACAACUAUGCAAAGCUUGCAAUUUACAUCCUAGAGGAGGACCUCUCAGCUUACCUUCAUACCCAGCCUCCACUAAACUCCUCUGCCCAGAGGGAAACAAGCAAAAGAAAUCUCCAAAGGACCACAAAAACCCCCAGGCUAUCAGUUAUGUCCCCUUCAAGCUGUAGGGGGAGGGGAAAUUGGCCUAACCUGGGUACAUGUCCCCUUCUCCCUCUCUGAUUUAAAGCAGAUCAAGGCAAACCUGGGGAGGUUUUCAGAUGAUCCUGAUAGGUACAUAGAUGUCCUACAAGGGUAUAGAGCAAACCUUCAAUCUCACUUGGAGAGAUGUCAUGCUAUUCUUAGAUCAAACCCUGGCCUUUAAUGAAAAGAUUGUGGCUUUAACUGCAGCCUGAGAGUUUGGAGAUACCUGGUGUCUUAGUCAAGUAAAUAAUAGAAUGACAGCCGAAGAAAGGCACAAAUUCCCUACCGGUCAAGCAAGCCAUCCCUUGUAUGGAUCCCCACUGGGACCUUGACUCAGAUCAUGGGGACUGGGAGUCAUAAAUAUCUAUUGAACUGUGUUCUAGAAGGACUAAGGAGAAUUAGGAAAAAAAACCAUGAAUUAGUCAACGAUGUCCAGCUUAACUCAGGGAAAAGAAGAAAAUCCUUCUGCCUUCCUUGAGAAGCUAUGGGAGGACUUAAGAAAAUAUACACCCCUGUCACCUGACUGACUCAAGUUUCAGUUGAUUCUAAAAGAUAAAUUUAUUACCCAAUCAGCCACAGAUAUCAGGAGAAAGCUCCAAAAGCAAGCCCUGGGCCCUGAACAAAAUCUGGAGGCAUUAUUGUUAUUAUUAUUGUUAUUAUUAUUAUUAUUAUUAUUAUUUUGAGACAAAGUUUUUCUCUUGUUGCCCAGGCUGGAGUGCAGUGUCACCAUCUCAGCUCACUGCAAGCUCUGCCAUCUGGAGGCAUUAUUAAACCUGGCAACCUCGGUAUUGUACAAUAGGGACUGAGAGGAACAGGCCCAAAAGGAAAAGAGAGAUCAGAGAAAGGCCACAACCUUAGUCAUGGCCUCAGACAAAGAAAUCUUGGUGGUUCAGAGAGGACAGAAAACGGAGCAGGCCAAUCACCUGAUAGGGCGUUUUACAAGUGUGGUUUAUAAGGAUAUUUUAAAAAAGAUUGUCCAAUGAGAAAAAAGCCACCCCCUCAUCCAUAUGCACAAUGCUGAGGCAAUCACUGAAAGGCCCACUGCCUCAGAGGGCAAAGGUUCUCUGGCCCAGGAGCCCACAACCAGAUGAACCAACAACAGGACUGAGGUUGCCUCAGGCAAGCACCAGCUCAUGUCAUCUCCCUCACUGAGCCCCAGCUACAUUUAACCAUUAAGGGCCAGGAAAUUGACUUCCUCCUAGACACUGGUGCAGCCUUCUCAGUGUUAACCUCCUGUCAGAGAUGACUGUCCUCAAGGUCUGUUACCAUCCAAGGAAUCCUGGGACAGCCUGUAACCAGGUAUUUCUCCCACCUCCUCAGUUGUAAUUGGGAGACUUUAUUCUUUUCACAUGACUCUCUUGUUAUGCCUGAAAGUCCCACACCCUUAUUAGGGAGAGAUAUAUUAGCCAAAGCUUN
rnacentral:lncRNA from 1 species